rnacentral:misc_RNA from 1 species
UAAUGGCUGGAUCAUCAUGGCUAGUAGAUGGUCAUAGAUUUGCAACAAAAAUCAAGAGUGCAUCUGAUCCUGAAAAGGUGAUAUGGGAGAGCAAUCCGUCUAAAGCUUGCCCUAAUUGCCAGCAUGUAAUUGACAACAGUGAUAUUACUCAAAAGUGGCCUGGAUUACCCAGAGGGGUGAAAUUUGAUCCAACUGAUCAAGAAAUUAUUUGGCAUUUACUUGCAAAAGUUGGUGUGGGAGGUUUAGAUCCCCAUCCUUUUAUUGAUGAAUUCAUUCCUACUGUUAACAAGGAUGAUGGGAUCUGUUAUACCCAUCCUCAGAAUCUACCAGGUGUUAGGCAAGAUGGAAGUGUAUCUCACUUCUUUCAUAGAGCAAUCAAGGCUUACAAUACUGGGACUCGAAAGCGCCGUAAAAUUCAAGGUGAUGAUUUUGGUGAUGUCCGUUGGCACAAAACUGGCAGGACUAAGCCAGUGAUAUUGGAUGGAGUUCAGAAGGGCUGCAAGAAAAUUAUGGUUCUUUACAUGAGCACAGUAAGGGGUGGCAAAGCAGAGAAAACAAAUUGGGUGAUGCAUCAAUAUCACCUGGGAACAGGGGAGGAUGAGAGGGAGGGGGAGUAUGUGGUUUCCAAAAUAUUUUAUCAGCAG